AUGACAGCGUGUUUGCAGGGGGCUGCUGUUUGCGGAAAACACAAUGUUUGCUGGGAAAGCUGUGCUCGGGUCGAACCUGACAGUUGUGAUUUGAAGUUCUUGUCAUUCUGCUAUGGACCUGUACAUACUUUGAAACUAAUAACAAUAGGACUCGGAAAUUUGAAUACCACAGUAGAAUGGAGUGUGACCUCACGGAGCCUGACAUCUUGGAGUCGUUGGAAGAUCUGGGGUAAGACUGCGAAGGCACGGGCCUCCCGCGCCCCACGCUGUUGGCGCCCCGGGAACUCCUUCUGCGCUCGGUCCUCAGGCACGUGCCUCUCCACACCGCACCCAUGGCUCCUGCUGUCCCUCCCCUUUGGCCCCGGGACCCCCAGGGCCACGUCCGCUCCCUGCCCUGCCGACGGGGCCCGCCGCCCCCACGCCCCUGCUUUAGCCGGUGCUCCCCACAGCCCAGCUACCCACAGCGUUUGUCAGUCAUGCGUGUCACUGUCUGCGCUCGGGCUCUCCACCCCCACCCCCGGCGUCUCCCCUUGCCCUGAUCCUGCCCUACCCCCACCGAGAGGCUGCAAAGUUGAUCCUCCAUUUCCCUGCUGAUCUCCAAAUUCCUCGCCUUGCGCCUGUGCUCCCACCCCACCCUCCUUUGCCCAGUCAUCUCUCCAUGCAGCCAGGCGUCCCCAAGCCACACGACUGGGCGCCCCGCCUUUCUGCAGCCAGCUCAGUUGUGCACGAACCCACCCUCACAUGCCUGGAAACCACUGGCAGUUUCUCAGACCCAGACCCUGCCUCGCUGAGUCUAUCAGCCCACGUCCUCUUCACCCAUUAAAAACCUGCUUGUUUGUUUAAAAAAAGAAAGAAGAAACUAAUAGCAAUAAACACCGGCUGCUGAUCUCUAUGUGGUCUUCAAAAUGAGCUUGCUUCUGUGCUAGGAAUCACAUGUAUACUUUAAAAAUGUUUUCUACACUAAAAACGAAGAGUGGUUCAAAAACAGCAAUCCUUCCACUCAAAGAACUCAACUGAGAAAGAAAGAACUCAAUUGAGAAAGAAAAAAGAACUCAAUCGAAAUCCUCUCCUUAGAAAGACUUCGGGGAAGAAGGAAACAAUCUCUGCGCAGGGUCCAGGACCAGGAGGCUAAGUUGCAGGCGCUCAGGGGUCUUCUACUGCCAUCUAGUGGCACGCAGGGAGGGCAGCACGUUCAUCUUCCUCUGGGCGAUUAAUGCCCACACGCCACCAAAGACCUUUCUGUCUUUGGGAUAUCUUUGUCUUCGCUCUUACUUUUGGAAAUAAAAUUCUGCUUCACAAAUCUUUUUUUCAAAAGAAACAUUAAUAAGACAAAAUGAGAAUGGCUGGAAGGAAGAUUGCCUGAUGCUCAAAGACAACCUGCAUUCCCCCAGCUCUCUGGAGGAGCCCCGCCAGAAAUCCGGCAGGCGGCAGGCGUGGAGUGCGAAGCGACCUGCCCGGGAGUCAUGGUUAGAAUUUCACGUCGUUCCCAAAGAGUAGCCCCGAAGGGACGUGAGUAUUCCCUUUCCCUGGCUGACUUCUACAAGCAGACAGUUCUUGGGGCGCUUAGAGACCAUUUUUGCUUUGAAAACUAUAAGAUAAAGACAAGAAGAAAGGAAAAUGAUUUAAACAAGGAAAAUAUAUAUCUUUCUUUAGAAACUAGACAAGCAGAUGUACUAAAGAAAUGUGCUGGGAUACAGCUCAAUCGACAGGGUGCUUAUCCAGCGUACAUAAAGCCCUGGAUUCCAUCCCCAGCAUUGCAAAGAAAAAAAAGCUUUAAAAUUUUUUUUUCCUGUUUUUCUUUUUUCUUUGAGACAGGGUCUCACUAUGUAGCCCAGGCUGGCCUUAAACUCACAGCAAUGCUCCUGCCUCAGCCUCCCCAGUGCUGGGAUUACAGGUGUACGCCACCACACUCAGCCUAAAAUUUAAGUAAGUAUUUUCUAUCCAAACUAACUAGAAAAUUCGAGAUGGGAAACGUUAACAGAUACAACAUGAACUAAAAUAAAAAUUAGAGAUCUGGAAAAUACAACUCUUCAACUCACUAACAACAGUUUGCUAAGGAAAAUGU
ensembl:lincRNA